rnacentral:tRNA from 1 species
UCCUGUGGUGUAGUGGUUAACACAUUCACCUUAUGUGUGAAAGAUCUCUGGUUUGAGACCAGGAGGAA